rnacentral:rRNA from 1 species
AUUGAACGCUGGCGGCAUGCUUUACACAUGCAAGUCGAACGGUAACAGGCCGCCAGGUGCUGACGAGUGGCGUACGGGUGAGUAAUGCAUCGGAACGUGCCCAGUCGUGGGGGAUAACUACUCGAAAGAGUAGCUAAUACCGCAUACGAUCUAUGGAUGAAAGCGGGGGACCGUAAGGCCUCGCGCGAUUGGAGCGGCCGAUGUCAGAUUAGGUAGUUGGUGGGGUAAAGGCUCACCAAGCCAACGAUCUGUAGCUGGUCUGAGAGGACAACCAGCCACACUGGGACUGAGACACGGCCCAGACUCCGACGGGAGGAAGCAGUGGGGAAUUUUGGACAAUGGGCGAAAGCCUGACCCAGCAAUGCCGCGUGCAGGAAGAAGGCCUUCGGGUUGUAAACUGCUUUUGUACGGAACGAAACGGCUCUGGUUAAUACCCGGGGCUAAUGACGGUACCGUAAGAAUAAGCACCGGCUAACUACGUG